GGUCUCUAUGGGUCCCUAUGCAACCCUAUGUGGUUCCUAUGGGUCCCUAUGUGUCCCUCUGGUCCCUAUGGGGUCUCUGUGGGUCUCAGUGGUGUCCCAAUGGGUCCCUAUGUGUCCGUGUGUCCCACCGUGUCCGUGCGUCCCGCAGUCCCCCCGCAGUCGGUGUCCAUCUCGGUGUCCCCGCCGUCCCCCCGUCCCGGCACUUUGGUGGAGCUGAGCUGCAGCACCAGCAGCGCCCGCCCCGCCCCCACCCUGCACUGGGACGUCAGAGGAACCACGUGGGCAACAACGGGUCCCCACUGCGCCCCAUAGCGCCCCAUAGCGCCCCACUGCGCCCCACAGCGCCCCAUAGCGCCCCACUGCGCCCCUUUGUCCCCAUUGUGUCCCAUUGUGUCCCAUUGUGUCCCAUUGUGCCCCAUUGCGCCCCAUUGUGUCCCAUUGUGUCCUAUUGUGUCCCAUUGCGCCCCACUGCGCCCCAUUGUGUCCCUUUGUCCCCAUUGUAUCCCAUUGUGUCCUAUUGUGUCCCCAUAG
rnacentral:lncRNA from 1 species